UCAUUUACUCCUGAUUAAUAUACUGGAUAUGACCACAGUUUCAUUCACAUUAAGGCAAUAUUCAGGUACAGUUUUAUAAUAAAUCCAACUGUAUUAUAAACACAAACUACCUCUGGACUGCCAACAUGGAGAGACAUAUGCUGCUCAUGAUUCUCAUUGUAGUUACAGGUGGAUUUGCUGACAGAAUUGGACCAGGAGAAGGAAAUACUAAUAUAAUGAAGGGAGAAGGAGAGUCUGUGACACUGAGCUGUUCAUAUGAUACAAGCAGCAAUAAUGUUUGGCUUUACUGGUACAGACAGUAUCCAAAAGGAGAACCUCAGUAUUUACUGUAUAAAGGUGCUCGAUCUGACAGUCAUUAUGAGCAUGUAUCAGACCGUCGGUUUCGGUCAACAACAUCCCAAUCAUCCACUGAACUCAUUAUUGAUAAAGCAGCUCUGUCAGAUUCAGCUCUCUAUUAUUGUGCUCUAAGAGUAUUUGCCCACGGUUCUGUUCGUGGUGUUCACUGGUAUCGCCAAUACGCAGGUUCACCACCACAGCUCCUCAUACUGGAAGAUUCAGGAGUAACUACUUCAGCUGAUCCACCCGUUCCAAGAAUAACCAUCAAUCACAAAAAAGAGCAAAGUCAUGUGGAUCUGGAGAUCUCCUCUGCUGCAGUAUCUGACUCUGCUCUGAGGCCCACAGUCACAGGAAACACAAGAACAUAA